rnacentral:rRNA from 1 species
UACGUAGGGUGCGAGCGUUAAUCGGAAUUACUGGGCGUAAAGCGUGCGCAGGCGGUUUUGUAAGCCGGAUGUGAAAUCCCCGGGCUUAACCUGGGAAUGGCAUUCGGGACUGCAAGGCUGGAGUGCGGCAGAGGAGACUGGAAUUCCUGGUGUAGCAGUGAAAUGCGUAGAUAUCAGGAGGAACACCGGUGGCGAAGGCGGGUCUCGUGGACAGUGAACUGACGCUGGAGGA